AUUAUAGAACUUUCACAUCGUUAUUCUCUUGUGGAUGUUGGUUACAGACAAUGAUAGAAAGCAACCCACAGCAUAUCAGCGUUAUUCAAUCCAGACCCCAAAACAACAAUAUAUGGAAGAAAAUGAGAUUCGAUGACGCCCAUGAACAAAACCUACGUAUGACCACACGGUUAUUCAAUGUUGGUACAAGACUGAAAGAAAGCAACACACAACAUAUGGCCACACAUAAACCACACGAGCAACGUGCGAGCUCAAAUAUCUUUGAUGAUGUUUCAGCUUUGCUGCACAACGCAGAUCAACUUCGCACCCUUCAGCCCAGCAUUCCCACGUAUAUUUUCGACAACCCCCGCAGCAUCAAUUGAGGCGGCAACCACCUCCAGCACACCACCACCCUCCCCGACAAACUGCACUGAUCUUAACC
rnacentral:lncRNA from 1 species